rnacentral:rRNA from 1 species
ACGAGGGGGGCGAGCGUUGUUCGGAAUUAUUGGGCGUAAAGGGUGCGUAGGCGGUUUGGUAAGUCUUGUGUGAAAGCUCCCGGCUCAACUGGGAGAGGUCCUUGGAUACUGGCGGACUUGAGGGAGGUAGGGGAGAGUGGAAUUCCCGGUGUAGUGGUGAUAUGCGUAGAUAUCGGGAGGAACACCAGUGGCGAAGGCGGCUCUCUGGGCCUUUCCUGACGCUGAGACGCGAAAGCGUGGGGAGCGAACCGGA